CGGCAAUUUAGGAUUUAUUUUAUACUUUUAUGAUAAAUAACAAGUGUAGAUUGUAUCGUUUUUGCAGGGUCCUUAGGGAGGGUUCUAAAUCCAGUUGCAUGCUUCCAAAAUUCCCCUUAGAGUGAAUUACUCACUCUACUCUCUUGUCAGCUUUUGUCCACAGAAAAGCUUGUUCCUCAAGGAGUCAGCCCUGAGAUGCACUUCCCCUCAGGGGUACCCUGAGAGGCAUCCUGGCUCAAGGGGAGAUUGAGGGUGCAGUCCACUGUGGUCCCUGGAAAGCUCAAAGGGCUUAGGACUACUUAGUUGCUACUAAGCAACUAGUUGCUUAGGACUACCAUUCAUAGGACUGUGAGACAACUGUUAAUACUUUUCCAUCCUGGCUACUGUUCAGAUAAGGCAAUUUUGGUAUUUUUCAUCAAUUCUGCUAUUCCCAUACCUUCCAGAAUGUACAGUUGUGGUACUCCCCAGAUCAGGCUACUGUCCAGGCUGCAGGUUUGGAGAUGCAAUCAGGGAGUGCCUGCUCAUACUCACCUGUUAUGGACAUUGUCCAUUGACAAUGGAGGACUGAUGUAACAUUAAUCAAUCUUGAACCAUAGCUGACUUGGGGGAAAGGCUACCCCACCACAGAGAUCAAGGGUUACAGCCUGCUGUGAUCCCUGGAGAGCUCAAAUUGGCUUUUCUUCAGUUGCUACAAGUUCAGGUCAUUGGCUCAUAGUCAAACUCAGGUUCCUUACCAUGUUCUGGAACUCUGAUGUGCAAGAAGCAGUCCCAUCAAGGCCUACUGUGGUUUAUAAGCCUGAGCAAGACUUAGAUCAAGUGCGGGAGUAUAGUGAACCCAUCACAGAGCCAAUGCACUUCAGUUUUGAAGAUGAGAAAAUCCGUUGGCAGUCUUGACAGAAAGAGGAAACAUGCAGAGCAGAAGCAUUGCUUGCUCCUCGUUCAUCCAAGCACCAAGCAGUAUCAGACCAACAGGUAGUCACAAUAAUGUUUGAUGCAUGAUGGAGAGUACCACAGGAUUUACAACUGUUACCAGAGCUGAACUCAGUACUCCAGGUGGGGUCUCUCAAGAGCAGAGUAGAGGGGAGAAUGAAGGUGAAGUCUGGAACAAAGAGCUUUCAAUAGAGAAAAAGAGAAGGGACACCAAAUUUUCACUGAUGCAUGAGUGCAUCUGAAGACAGAACUGAAUCCCCCAUUUCAGAGAACUUCAGCGGACUAGCAAUGUACAAAAAGUGGACAUGAUAGUUUUGUGUUGAACUGUGUGUAGCUAAGCUGAUGUAUUUUAGGUGGUCUUAAUAGACGCAAGUGAGAUGACAAUCUGUAAACACAAUGAAGAGUUAGAACCAUUGCUUAAUUUCACUGAUUUAGUCAUAAUAUUGGAUCAAGUAACUCAAAGGGUCAAAGUCUCUCUUCAGAGAGAAGCCGUAAUGGAUUCAGUGGUUUCCCUGGGCAAAAAUUAAUUUGGAUUAAGUUUGUAAAGCAAAUAUUGCCUGAGUAUAUGAAGAGACAUGUUCUGACACUUUCAUAUAGUAUGCAUUUGAAGAAAAUCAGUUAAUUCAUAACAAUUAUGAUAUAUUUUUGUACAUAAUAUUAGAUUGUAUAAAUAGGAGCACA
rnacentral:lncRNA from 1 species